rnacentral:rRNA from 1 species
CAGGACGAACGCUGGCGGCGUGCUUAACACAUGCAAGUCGAACGGGGAUAUUCGAGCGGAAGGCUUCGGCCGGAAGGUUGGAUAUUCGAGUGGCGGACGGGUGAGUAACGCGUGAACAAUCUGUCCCAGACAGGGGGAUAACACUUGGAAACAGGUGCUAAUACCGCAUAAGACCACAGGGUCGCAUGGUCCAGGGGUAAAAGGAGGAAUCCGGUUUGGGGUGAGUUCGCGUCCGAUUAGCCAGUUGGUGAGGUAACGGCCCACCAAAGCGACGAUCGGUAGCCGACCUGAGAGGGUGAUCGGCCACAUUGGAACUGAGAGACGGUCCAAACUCCUACGGGAGGCAGCAGUGGGGAAUAUUGGGCAAUGGGCCGAAAGCCUGACCCAGCAACGCCGCGUGAGUGAAGAAGGCCUUCGGGUUGUAAAGCUCUGUUAUAGGGGACGAAGGAGUGACGGUACCCUAUAAGGAAGCCCCGGCUAACUACGUGCCAGCCGCGGC